AGUGAACGCUGGCGGUAGGCCUAACACAUGCAAGUCGAACGGCAGCACAGUAAGAGCUUGCUCUUACGGGUGGCGAGUGGCGGACGGGUGAGGAAUACAUCGGAAUCUACUUUUUCGUGGGGGAUAACGUAGGGAAACUUACGCUAAUACCGCAUACGACCUACGGGUGAAAGCAGGGGAUCUUCGGACCUUGCGCGAUUGAAUGAGCCGAUGUCGGAUUAGCUAGUUGGGGGGGUAAAGGCCCACCAAGGCGACGAUCCGUAGCUGGUCUGAGAGGAUGAUCAGCCACACUGGAACUGAGACACGGUCCAGACUCCUACGGGAGGCAGCAGUGGGGAAUAUUGGACAAUGGGCGCAAGCCUGAUCCAGCCAUACCGCGUGAGUGAUGAAGGCCUUCGGGUUGUAAAGCCCUUUUGUUGGGAAAGAAAAGCAGCAGGAUAAUAACCCGCUGUUCUGACGGUACCCAAAGAAAAAGCACCGGCUAACUUCGUG
rnacentral:rRNA from 1 species